CGGCAGUCAAAAUUGUCGUUGAACAACCAGUCUCCCAAUUGGCUUCGCCAAACGCUUAUCUCGCAUGUUAGUAGGCAGCUGCUUCCAUUUCCUUUACCCUCACAUUUACCCCCCAUUUCUCUCCCUUCACAAUCCCAUCCCCUCAAGCCUUUCUUUCUGCGUCGCAUCCUCGGCCAUGGAUAAGAGCUCGACUUGUACACUAUUUUUAUGCGGCAAAUCAUCUGCCGAAACCGAAAGUGCUAAAUCAUUGAAAAUCAGCAACGCUCUUAAGCUUCCAGACGGCGGCGAAGUUUCAAAUCUUUUACGGUCGGAGAUUAGUAAUUUCCAAUUCGGUGAAGAGGCUUUUGAUGUCGAUUUGUUUAUUAAUUCACUCUCGACUAACCGAUUCGGUCGGUUUCUUAUUUGGUCCCCGCGGUUAUCCUCUACGCACGACAUCGUUUCUCAUAAUUUUUGUGAGCUUCCAAUUGGUGCAGUUUGUGUAGGUGAUGUUCAGUUUAAAGGGCGAGGUCGGUCGAACAAUGCGUGGGAGUCUCCAAGGGGAUGCCUUAUGUUUUCGUUUACAUUGCAAAUGGAGGAUGGAAAAAUUGUGCCUUUGGUACAAUAUGUGGUGUCUCUCGCUGUGACAGAGGCCAUAAAGGAUGUUUGUAAUCGAAAUGGCUUCCCAUCUCUUGAUGUUAGGAUCAAGUGGCCCAAUGAUCUGUACUUAAAGGGCCUUAAAGUUGGAGGCAUUCUCUGCACCUCAACAUAUAAAUCAAAGAAGUUCAAUGUCAGUUCUGGUAUAGGUUUGAAUGUUGGUAAUGUGAAACCAACAACAUGUUUGAAUGCAGUAUUAAAAGAGCUGUCUACUACUUCAAAUGAAUUUAGAAGAGAAGAUAUUAUGGCUGCCUUCUUUAAUAAAUUUGAGAUGUUGUAUGACAUUUUUAUAAAUCAAGGAUUUCAAACACUUGAGGAGCUUUACUAUAGAACAUGGCUUCACAGUGGGCAGAGAGUUAUUGUACAGGAAAAGAAUGAGGACAGAUUUGUGGAAAAUGUGGUCACAAUCCAGGGUUUAACAUCCUCAGGAUAUUUGUUAGCUAUUGGUGACGACAAUCAGGUGUGCGAACUUCAUCCUGAUGGAAACAGUUUUGACUUCUUCAAAGGACUGGUCAGAAGGAAACUUGAAUGAAUAACAUUCCAUGGCAUCUUCCACUGGUGCAGAUUGUCGUGUUCUAACAUCGAAAGUUCAUGUGGGUAAUUCAUGACGGUGACAAAUGGUACUUAUUUCUGCUCAAAGGGAUAACUUCCUUAUUUUUUUUUGAACUUUUUUUCUUCUAUUCCAGAAGGGAGGAUGAUAACGAAAUGAGUUGUAAAGUUCAUGCGUUUUAAUUUUACUUUAAUUUAUUUAUUUUUUAUCUGUGGAUUUAUUGCUUCUCUGAACAGCUGUAAAAUUGAAGGAAGCACAUGAUCCUCA